GGGCCCGCACAAGCGGUGGAGUAUGUGGUUUAAUUCGAUGCAACGCGAAGAACCUUACCAGGGUUUGACAUCCUGCGAAUCUCUUGGAAACAGGAGAGUGCCUUCGGGAACGCAGUGACAGGUGGUGCAUGGCUGUCGUCAGCUCGUGUCGUGAGAUGUUGGGUUAAGUCCCGCAACGAGCGCAACCCACAUCCUUAGUUGCCAGCAGUUCGGCUGGGCACUCUAGGGAAACUGCCCGUGAUAAGCGGGAGGAAGGUGUGGAUGACGUCAAGUCCUCAUGGCCCUUACGGGUUGGGCUACACACGUGCUACAAUGGCAGUGACAAUGGGUUAAUCCCAAAAAACUGUCUCAGUUCGGAUUGGGUCUGCAACUCGACCCCAUGAAGUCGGAAUCGCUAGUAAUCG
rnacentral:rRNA from 1 species